CUCCCUGCGCACUGCGAUGGUGCCCGAGCGGAGCCGCGGCGGCGGAGGGGCGGCCGUGCCGCUGCUGCGCGGCUCCAGCCGGGCGCGGGGGCGGCGGCAGCAGCAGCAGCAGCAGCCCCGCAGACCAUAAUUUAUUUGGGCUUGGGAUCCCCAUGGCACGUGCACUAGAGGAUAAUUUGGAGUAGGAGGUGUUUUGGUCCUUGCCAAGAUGGUGGGCAAGCUGAAGCAGAACCUGCUGCUGGCGUGCCUGGUGAUCAGCUCGGUGACCGUGUUCUACCUGGGCCAGCACGCCAUGGAGUGCCACCACCGCAUGGAGGAGCGCGGGCAGCCCCCGCGGGGGGACGGCGCCAGGGCCGCCCUGGGCACGGCCCCCAGUGGCAUCGGUGGCAGUGCCAACAGGAGCCUGCCCUACAGCAAGGACAUGCCCCUGAUCUUCAUCGGGGGCGUCCCCCGCAGCGGCACCACGCUGAUGCGCGCCAUGCUGGACGCGCACCCCGACAUCCGCUGCGGGGAGGAGACCAGGGUGAUCCCCAGGAUCCUGGCCGUCAAACAGAUGUGGGCCAGGUCCAGCAAGGAGAAAAUCCGCCUGGACGAGGCCGGGGUGACGGAUGAGGUGCUGGAUUCGGCCAUGCAGGCCUUCCUGCUGGAGAUCAUCGUCAAGCACGGCGAGCCCGCUCCCUACCUGUGCAACAAGGAUCCCUUCGCUCUGAAAUCCUUGACUUACCUGGCCAGGAUCUUCCCCAACGCCAAAUUCCUGCUGAUGGUGCGGGAUGGCCGCGCCUCGGUGCACUCCAUGAUCUCCAGGAGGGUCACCAUAGCUGGCUUUGACCUCAACAGCUACAGGGACUGCCUGACCAAGUGGAACCGGGCCAUAGAGACCAUGUACAACCAGUGCAUGGAGGUGGGAUUCCAGAGGUGCAUGCUGGUGCACUACGAGCAGCUGGUGCUGCACCCCGAGAGGUGGAUGAGGACUCUGCUCAAGUUCCUGCACAUCCCCUGGAACCAGGCAGUGCUGCACCACGAGGAGAUGAUUGGAAAAGCAGGGGGGGUUUCUCUUUCCAAGGUUGAAAGAUCUACUGACCAAGUGAUCAAGCCAGUGAAUGUGGAAGCCCUGUCCAAGUGGGUGGGGAAGAUCCCAGCUGAUGUCCUGCAGGACAUGCCAGUGAUUGCCCCCAUGCUGGCCAAGCUGGGCUAUGACCCCUAUGCCAACCCCCCCAAUUAUGGCAAGCCAGAUCAGAAAGUGGUGGAAAACACCAGGAGGGUCUAUAAAGGUGAAUUUCAGCUUCCUGACUUCCUCAGAGAAGUGCCACAGCCAAAGAAGACAGUAGAAAGGAAGUCUCGUGGCAAGAUAAAAUGAACGUGGAGCAGUAAAGAGGCAUAGCUGUAACUGAACCUAUGGAAUAGAAGAUAAAAUGGACAUUUCUUGCACAGAAGAAGAUCAGCUGCUGCCUUUUCCAUGGGAAGGAUCCCUCAGGCCUGUCCCCCUGGCAUCAGAGAUGUGCUGCUCUUGGCCUGCUCUCUUCAGAAUGUUCUCUCCUCUUUCUUUCAUCUGUUUUUGUUCCAAAUUUUGCUGUUGUGAGCGCAUGUAAAGCUGUUAAAAAACAAAAAAAAAAUCACAGAUGUUAAUGUAGAACUGCAUUACAUUCGCACAAUUAUUUUUUUUUAAGGUUUUAAAAAAUGCGGAAGCAAUGCCUGUCUCUGAAAUUGCUCCUCUGUUUUAAUUACAGGGCUCCAUCUUCAGAUUUUAUUUUUUUUUGUUUCUUGUAGCAGUUUGGUUUUGAAUGUACAAAGCUUUCAAGAGUGGUCUGUGCUUGUCCUGAAAGAUUCUUGGUGGAAAAGUUGUUUGUUUUAUUCAUAUGUGAAAAAUGUUAAAUAUCUUUUAUUUAAAAAGAAAAAAAAGUUGAUAAAUUACAUGUACAAUUACAAUUCAAUGAUCUUUUGUAUUUUAUUUUUCAAAAUAAAUGCUUUAAAUGUGA